UACGUAGGGAGCAAGCGUUGUCCGGAUUCACUGGGUGUAAAGGGUGCGCAGGCGGAUUUGUAAGUCAGAAGUGAAAUCUCACGGCUUAACCGUGAAACUGCUUUUGAUACUGCAGAUCUUGAGUUUGGGAGAGGUUGAUGGAAUUCCAGGUGUAGCGGUGAAAUGCGUAGAUAUCUGGAAGAACACCAGUGGCGAAGGCGGUCAACUGGCCCAUAACUGACGCUCAGGCACGAAAGCGUGGGUAGCGAACAGG
rnacentral:rRNA from 1 species